AUUUUUUUCAAAUUACAGAUUACCUUAGCAUUUUCUGUUGAUUUCUAUGAUAUUCUUUCAUAUAUAGCAUUAUAAAAUUUUUUGCUUUAUACUUUGGAAAAGAAACUUGGUAAAAGUUGUCUCACUUUCCUUACUAGGUAACAAGCAUUCAUUAUUGACAAGCUAUCUAACCCUUCUGCUAUUUAUUUUCUUUUUCUGUAAGGUUAGGACUUUCAUCUCAAAAUAUGGUUUCCAAAUUGUGCUCCUGGGAACUCUUGUUGAGGUUCAACAUUAUCUUCAGGAACUAUCUUGCUAGGAUGUGGAAAGCAUUAAAGACAGAAAUUGACGAGUCAUAUGUCUUCAACAUAUAA
rnacentral:lncRNA from 12 species